ACGGGAGGCAGCAGUGGGGAAUAUUGGACAAUGGGGGAAACCCUGAUCCAGCGACGCCGCGUGAGUGAAGAAGUAUUUCGGUAUGUAAAGCUCUAUCAGCAAGGAAGAAAAUGACGGUACUUGACUAAGAAGCUCCGGCUAAAUACGUGCCAGCAGCCGCGGUAAUACGUAUGGAGCAAGCGUUAUCCGGAUUUAUUGGGUUUAAAGGGUGCGUAGGCUGUGGUCCAAGUCAGGGGUGAAAGCCCGGAGCUCAACUCCGGAACUGCCUUUGAUACUGGAUUGCUGGAAUACGGAUGCCGUGGGAGGAAUGAGUAGUGUAGCGGUGAAAUGCAUAGAUAUUGCUCAGAACACCGAUUGCGAAGGCAUCUCACGAAUCCGUCAUUGACGCUGAGGCACGAAAGCGUGGGGAUCAAACAGGAUUAGAUACCCUGGUA
rnacentral:rRNA from 1 species